AUAACCUGUAGGGAAUGAAGGGACAUUAACACAAAUUAGAACCAGAAGUACAGAAAAACAUGAUGAUUUAUGAAAAUAAUUUGUAUACCAUUACAUACUAUACUGAACUCAGCAACAACAAAAAACUGUCCUCUCACUGUCAACUGCGUUUAUUUUCAGUUUAUUGGCCCUGAACAAAGGGGGGUGUCACGUCUACUCCCGCUCUUCCCCCCUGGCGCUGGAUGGCGCCAGGCUGACCUGCAUUACACACUCCUGCCACCAUCAUUUACACCCACCUGCCUUCCCUCGUCAUGCGCAUCAGCGAUAUUGGACUCACCUGGACUCACUCAAUCACCUAUUUAUUACCUCCCCUAUAUUUGUCAGAUCCCCAGCUCUGUUCCCUGCUGCUGCAUUGUUUGUCAUAUGUCCAUGUUACCCGUGUGCUGGCUCUGUUCCUGUAUUGUUCUAUGUCUGUUCCCGAAUACAUGUCUGACUGCCCGUACCUGUUCCUCCUGUCCAGCGUCGGUCCUUACAGGGGGGUCAAAAUCAAAAUUAAUAGUCAGUAUCUGGUGUGGCCACCAGCUGCAUUAAGUACUGCAGUGCAUCUCCUCCUCAUGGACUGCACCAGAUUUGCCAGUUCUUGGUGUGAGAUGUUACCCCACUCUUCCACCAAGGCACCUGCAAGUUCUUGGACAUUUCUGGGGGGAAUGGCCCUAGCCCUCACCCUCCGAUCCAACAGGUACCAAACGUGCUCAAUGGGAUUGAGAUCCGGGCUCUUCACUGGCCAUGGCAGAACACUGACAUUCCUGUCCUGCAGGAAAUCACGUACAGAGCGAGCACUAUGGCUGGUGGCAUUGUUAUUUUGGAACAGUACCACAUGAGGGAGGAGGAUGUCUUCCCCGUAACGCACAGCAUUGAGAUUGCCUGCAAGGACAACAAGCUCUGUCCGAUGAUGCUGUGACACGUCGCUCAGACCAUGACGGACCCUCCACCUACAAAUCGAUCCCGCUUCAGAGUACAGGGCUCGGUGUAAAGCUCAUUCAUUCGACGAUAAACGCAAAUCCGACCAUCAACCCUGGUGAGACAAAACCGUGACUCGUCAGUGAAGAGCACUUUUUGCCAGUCCUGUCUGGUCCAGCGACGGUGGGUUUGUGCCCAUAGGUGACGUUGUUGCCGGUGAUGUCUGGUGAGGACCUGCCUUACAGCAGGCCUACAAGCCCUCAUUCCAGCCUCUCUCAGCCUAUUGCGGACAGUCUGAGCACUGAUGGAGGGAUUGUGUAUUCCUGGUAUAACUCGGGCAGUAGUUGUUGCCAUCCUGUCUCUGUCCCGCAGGUGUGAUGUUCGGAUGUACCGAUCCUGUGCAGGUGUUGUUACACGUGGUCUGCCACUGCGAGGAUGAUCAGCUGUCCGUCCUGUCUCCCUGUAGCCCUGUCUUAGGAAACUCACAGUACGGACAUUGCAAUUUAUUGCCCUGGCCACAUCUGCAGUCCUCACGCUUCCUUGCAGCAUGCCUAAGGCAUGUUCACGCAGAUGAGCAGGGACCCUGGGCACCUUUCUUUUGGUGUUAUUCAGACACAGUAGAAAGGCCUCUUUAGUGUCCUAAGUUUUCAUAACUGUGACCUUAUUUGCCUACCGUCUGUAAGCUGUUAGUGUCUUAACAACCGUUCCACGGGUGCAUGUUCAUUAAUUGUUUAUGGUUCAUUGAAGAAGCAUGGGAAACAAUGUUUCAACCCUUUACAAUGAAGAUCUGUGAAGUUAUUUGGAUUUUUACUCAUUAUCUUUGAAAGACAGGGUCCUGAAAAAUGAAAGUUUCUUUUUUUGCUGAGUUUAUUAUAUAUUAUCAACUGGGUGGGUCAAGCCUUGAAUGCUGAUUGGCUGACAGCCGUGGUAUAUCAGACCGUAUACUACAGGUUUGACAAAACAUUCAUAUUUACUGCUCUAAUUACAUUGGUAACAUCGCGCCGAAGAACAGCCCUUAGCCGUGGUAUAUUGGCCAUAUACCACACCCCCUCUGGCAUUAUUGCUUAAGAACAACACCGUGGUGCUGAUGGAUUGUUAUUUAGAGUAUGAGGCAUUACUGUAAGCUCAGGAAAUCUGUCUGAUUUGGAGACUGUGAUGCCAAGAAAAGUACAGGUGACAAAAAUGGUACUUCAGGAGCUCAUAAGAUGGUGGUUAAGGCUGUGUGAUAUCGUCAUUCUUCCAUAUGUGUUAUACUAGGAUCUGUCUCUGACAGGUCGCAGCUUUCCAUUCAUCCAUUUGUGGGUAAUCGGAACUGCACUAUGUGGUGACAUAAUGGACCUGAUGACCAAGACCUAUGACAGUUAGGUAAAAACAUGUAGUUUCAUGUCACUAAAAGUACCUUUAAAAUGCACCCUUUUACAGUCAGGAUGCAACCUGACCGUCACAACAACAACAGAAACACACUCAGCACAUUGCAAUAUAUAGGCCAUAUAUCUAGUUAAAAUAUGUUCACUAAUGAGACCACUGCGCCACCAGGGCCCCCAAAUAUGUUAACUUUUAAGCAAAUGUCAUACUGUGUUGACUCUUCCUUUUUUGCUAGUGUUAUCUAUACAGUAUGGUAUCUCAAGAGGUAACUGGUAACUUAGUAAGUGUGUGGUUACAAGGACACUGACACUGUGUUUACCAUAUUUACUGUGACAAGUAGGACUUGGUUUGACACAUAGAUGGAAGUGGAUAUGGCUAUUUCAGCCCCAUUGUUGCUGACAGGUGUAUAAAAUCGAGCACCAGUCAUGGAAUCGCCAUAAACAAACAUUGGCAGUAGAAUGGUCUUACUGAAGAUCUCAGUGACUUUCAAUGUGACACAGCCAUAGGAUGCCACCUUUCCAACAAGUCAGUUCAUCAAAUGAAUGCCCUACUAAAGCUGCCCCGGUCUACUGUAAGUGCUGUUAUGUUGAAGUGGAAACAUCUAGGAGUAACAACGGCUCAGCCACAAAGUGGUAGGCCACACAAGCUCACAGGAUGGGACCGCCGAGUGCUGAAGCGCGCAGAGCAUAAAAAUCGUCUGUCCUCAGUUGCAACACUCACUACCGAGUUCUAAACUGCCUCUGGAAGCAACGUCAGCACAAUAACUGUUCGUCGGGACCUUCAUGAAAUGGGUUUCCUUGGCAGAGCAGUCACACACAAGCCUAAGAUCACAAUGCACAAUGCCAAGCGUUGGCUGGAGUGGUGUAAAGCUCGCAGCAAUUGGACUGAAGCAGUGGAAACGCUUUCUCCAGAAUGAUUCAUCACGUUUCACCAUCUGGCAGUCCGACGGAGGAAUCUGGGUUUGGCAGAUGCCAGGAGAACGCUACCUGGCCUAAUGCAUAGUCCCAACUGUAAAUGUAGUUGAAGGAAGAAUAAUGGUUUGUCGAGAUCGUUGUGGAAGAAUUUGACUGGCCUGCACAGAGCCCUGACCUCAACCCCAUCUACCACUUUGGGGACGAAUUGGAACGCCGACUGCGAGCCCGGCCUAAUCACCCAACAUCAGUGCCCAACCUCAUUAAUGCUCUUGUGGCUGAAUGGAAGCAAGUCCCUGCAGCAAUGUUCCAACAUCUAGAGGAAAGCCUUCCCAGAAGAGUGGAGGCUGUUAUAGCAGCAAAGGGGGAGCCAACUCCAUAUUAAUGCCCAUGAUUUUGGAAUGAGAUGUUCAUGUAUGUACUUGGAAUACUUGUAGACUAAAUCACAUGAGAAACUACAGUAAAACUAUAGCUUGAGUGUUCUAACCCAUCCUUGACCGAAGCGGAUGAAGCAGCAAAUAUAAUAAUCAGGGGUUUGGCAUUGCAUAGCCAACAGAUUAUAUGACUGCAUGAUAGGAUUCAAAGUACACUCUCAGAAUAAAGGGUACAAUUAGGCCAAAGUACAGUAGAUCAAAAUCCUCUGAAUUUGCUACACUGGUGUCAGAAGGUGUAUGGCGGAGAGGCGUGUACACGUGAGGGACUUGGCAUAGAGAAGAGCAUUGACAGAUCUCUUGCAUGACAGCUGCAGGCAAUCCAUGAUCUGUGUACUGUCCUGCUGUCCUGCUGUGCAACAUAAGGAUUUGAUCCACAACUGCGAGAGUUACCUCACAUUCAAGGAUACUGGACGUAUUGGAGCAAAAGCUGAUAUCUGCCAACUGAAGUAACAAAGACAAGGAGGUGUCUCAACAUGAGAAGCACUCUGUGGAUGGAGGGUGUGGAUUCCAGUUCUCUCAUGCAAAUAGCACCGGCUUCAAACUUGCUCACAGGCCAAGAG